AAAUUGAAGAGUUUGAUCAUGGCUCAGAUUGAACGCUGGCGGCAGGCCUAACACAUGCAAGUCGAACGGUAACAGAAAGCAGCUUGCUGCUUUGCUGACGAGUGGCGGACGGGUGAGUAAUGUCUGGGAAACUGCCCGAUGGAGGGGGAUAACUACUGGAAACGGUAGCUAAUACCGCAUAACGUCGCAAGACCAAAGAGGGGGACCUUCGGGCCUCUUGCCAUCGGAUGUGCCCAGAUGGGAUUAGCUAGUAGGUGAGGUAACGGCUCACCUAGGCGACGAUCCCUAGCUGGUCUGAGAGGAUGACCAGCCACACUGGAACUGAGACACGGUCCAGACUCCUACGGGAGGCAGCAGUGGGGAAUAUUGCACAAUGGGCGCAAGCCUGAUGCAGCCAUGCCGCGUGUAUGAAGAAGGCCUUCGGGUUGUAAAGUACUUUCAGCGGGGAGGAAGGGAGUAAAGUUAAUACCUUUGCUCAUUGACGUUACCC
rnacentral:rRNA from 1 species